rnacentral:antisense_RNA from 1 species
AAUUCCAUGAUGGAUGUAUGCAAAGAAUUUGCUGUUCGGGCGUGGUGUCCUCAGUGCUGAGAGCCCCGCGGCGCCGGUGCAGCUCCUCCAGGGCGCGCAGCCCCGCCGCCUGGUGCCACCGCGAGGGAGCGCAGGCCCAGGGCCCGGGCAGACGCUGGAAGGGACGCGGCAGAUGAAGAUGGGGCACCUCCACUUCCCUUCUAAAUGAGCUUGGGAAUAGGCCAGGAAAUGUCCCCAUUGUAGAAAACAGCAGGCACAUCUGACACGCGGAUAACCUGUGUUGAGCUCGUUAUAUUCCCAGCAUUUAAUUCUAGCCAUUAGGCAAGCGUUAGCCACAGCUUCGCAUAGGAAGGUUAUUGCAGCUAUAUGGGAACACUUUCAGUUCCCCAAGUUAAAACAUGAAAUUGCACAUCAUCAUUUGGAUCCCUAAAGAGGAAAAGAAAAAUUCACAACCUGCCAGUGAAAUACUCAGGCCACUUGGAUGAAGACCAAGGUCCUUUCCAUAAAAUCCAGGUGUUAUUUACUAACUAAUCAUAAAUGAAUAUCAAAAUGGGACUUAAAAAUAACAAGGCUGUGUUAUAACAGCAGUCUUUCCAGUUGUGUAUGCUUUACUAAUCUAAAUUGGGUAACAGAACCGGAGAAAAGGAAGACUACACAGAUUUAUCAUAAGCCAUUAGUGAACAUGAUA